AGAGUUUGAUCAUGGCUCAGAUUGAACGCUGGCGGCAGGCCUAACACAUGCAAGUCGAGCGGUAGCACAGAGAGCUUGCUCUCGGGUGACGAGCGGCGGACGGGUGAGUAAUGUCUGGGAAACUGCCUGAUGGAGGGGGAUAACUACUGGAAACGGUAGCUAAUACCGCAUAACGUCGCAAGACCAAAGUGGGGGACCUUCGGGCCUCAUGCCAUCAGAUGUGCCCAGAUGGGAUUAGCUAGUAGGUGGGGUAACGGCUCACCUAGGCGACGAUCCCUAGCUGGUCUGAGAGGAUGACCAGCCACACUGGAACUGAGACACGGUCCAGACUCCUACGGGAGGCAGCAGUGGGGAAUAUUGCACAAUGGGCGCAAGCCUGAUGCAGCCAUGCCGCGUGUGUGAAGAAGGCCUUCGGGUUGUAAAGCACUUUCAGCGGGGAGGAAGGCGNCGAUUGACGUUACCCGCAGAAGAAGCACCGGCUAACUCCGUGCCAGCAGCCGCGGUAAUACGGAGGGUGCAAGCGUUAAUCGGAAUUACUGGGCGUAAAGCGCACGCAGGCGGUCUGUCAAGUCGGAUGUGAAAUCCCCGGGCUCAACCUGGGAACUGCAUUCGAAACUGGCAGGCUAGAGUCUUGUAGAGGGGGGUAGAAUUCCAGGUGUAGCGGUGAAAUGCGUAGAGAUCUGGAGGAAUACCGGUGGCGAAGGCGGCCCCCUGGACAAAGACUGACGCUCAGGUGCGAAAGCGUGGGGAGCAAACAGGAUUAGAUACCCUGGUAGUCCACGCCGUAAACGAUGUCGAUUUGGAGGUUGUGCCCUUGAGGCGUGGCUUCCGGAGCUAACGCGUUAAAUCGACCGCCUGGGGAGUACGGCCGCAAGGUUAAAACUCAAAUGAAUUGACGGGGGCCCGCACAAGCGGUGGAGCAUGUGGUUUAAUUCGAUGCAACGCGAAGAACCUUACCUGGUCUUGACAUCCACAGAACUUUCCAGAGAUGGAUUGGUGCCUUCGGGAACUGUGAGACAGGUGCUGCAUGGCUGUCGUCAGCUCGUGUUGUGAAAUGUUGGGUUAAGUCCCGCAACGAGCGCAACCCUUAUCCUUUGUUGCCAGCGGUCCGGCCGGGAACUCAAAGGAGACUGCCAGUGAUAAACUGGAGGAAGGUGGGGAUGACGUCAAGUCAUCAUGGCCCUUACGACCAGGGCUACACACGUGCUACAAUGGCAUAUACAAAGAGAAGCGACCUCGCGAGAGCAAGCGGACCUCAUAAAGUAUGUCGUAGUCCGGAUUGGAGUCUGCAACUCGACUCCAUGAAGUCGGAAUCGCUAGUAAUCGUAGAUCAGAAUGCUACGGUGAAUACGUUCCCGGGCCUUGUACACACCGCCCGUCACACCAUGGGAGUGGGUUGCAAAAGAAGUAGGUAGCUUAACCUUCGGGAGGGCGCUUACCACUUUGUGAUUCAUGACUGGGGUGAAGUCGUAACAAGGUAACCGUAGGGGAACCUGCGGUUGGAUCACCU
rnacentral:rRNA from 1 species